UACAAAAAGCAUUUAGCUCGGGCUUCUCUCGUGGUGCAAUGGUUAAAAAUCCCCUGCCAAUGCCGGGGACACGGGUUCGAGCCCUGGUCUGGGAAGAUCCCACAUGCUGCGGAGCAACUAAGCCCGUGUGCCACAACUACUGAGCCUGCGCUCUAGAGCC